rnacentral:lncRNA from 1 species
UAAAAUUACCCAUCCCACAGGCCCUCAAUUGAUGACAUGAAAGCAGAUUUAUGUGAUCCUCUUCCUCUCACUGAUUGAUGUGGCCCUGAAAUAUAGCAUUCACACUUUGAUAUCUCCAGUAGUCAGUAGUUAAACUUGAAUGUACCUGUGCAGUCCUUAUUCCAUACUCAUUAGGGGACUGAGGACUGAAGGAUCCUCAUCUGAGUCCUUAUUUGUCUUGUUGUUCUUCCAUGAUCUCUCAUCCUAAUUUUAUUUCACUUAUUUUAUUAGUGUAGGUUGUAGGUGUGCAAAUCAGUACCUAAAAUAUGAACAAAGCAGAUCAUUAAAUGCGAACAUUUCCACAUGAUAGAAGCUCAAAAUAACUAUCUCACUGAAUGGUGACACAGUCCCUAGAACUCCUCAAAUGGCUAAUACAAGUAUAUAGUAGGAUUUUGGUGUCUAAGAGAUACCUGUCUUCUACAGGGAUAUAAUGACUGAAAUGGAAGACAGUGAUAGAAGGCAGUUUGACUUAGCUUGCUGGUAUAAAUUUCUUCAAAAACAUCAAAAUUUGAAUUUUAAAUUAUUUCAUUGAUUUUAUGUCUAUGUCUAUAUAUUGUGUAUUUCAUUUAAGUUUUGUAAUUAAUGAAAUUUUCACAGUUGCAUAUCAAAGAUAAUUUCCUGUCCAAUUGUGCUUUCAUUCGGUACUAUGUUUGUUAUGGCUACAAAAUUUUAUUGAUCUUGUCAGGUUUUUCAGAAAUGAAUUUGAGAAACAAGUUUGUGUCAGGGCUCCCAACUCUGAGGAGCUUAUUUUUGCAUACACAUUCAUCCUAUAUUAUUAUAAUGCACACAUGUUCAUCCUAUAUUAUGCUGCCAAAUAAAUCCUGGACUUGUAUUUUUGGUCAUGAUCC